CAAAAUUAGAAAAAAGUUGUCUCUGUCCAAAUAUUUAUGGACAUAACUGUAAAUCAAUACAAAUUUACAUGCUAUAGGAUGAACAGCAAUACAGAAGAAUUAAUUAGAUUUAUGUCUCAUAAUAGCAGUAAGACAUCAUCACAUCUAUCAAUACAGCGAUGUUCCUUUAAGCCAGUCAGUACCCUUUGACAUUUGAUUUUCCGUUUGUAUUUGUAGCAACCGCAAAGAUGAUGACAGUGCCGGUUUUGGAGAAGUCAGUGACAAAAUAGAAGAGUUGGUGAUGGCAUUUCAAAGUCUACCAGCUGUUACAGCAGCAAUCAGAGAGCUCACUGAUCUUGCAGUUACCCAGAGAGUCAUACUCACUGCUCCCAAACUACAGACCAUCAAGGAGGGAUUUAGCCGCGUGGUUUGUAUGAACAUCAUUGAGGAACCAGUGCUCUCACUGUGCUGCAGAAGCAUUAUUGGCUGCAAGACAUGUGUGGAGCAGUGGCUAGAGACAUCUCAGCACUGCGCAAAAUGCAGGGAGGCCAACAACAGUAUUAUAGAAGUUACUGGUUUAACAGCUGCAUUUUCUGUGUUGAAAUCAUUUUUUUACAGAGGAGUAAUGUGGUUUACAUUUACAGUCAGUUGAUUGUUUCCUGUCUGUUCUGUACAGUUUUCAGAUGCAGCAGUUCAUACAUUUCUCUGAGUUACAUUUAUGAGAAAGAGCAGAGCUUCUUUGUAUGGUGUAAAGUCACUGUUUACGGCUCUGAAAAGCAAAUGUGAAAUGUCAAGAUAUUUUUCUGAAAAAUGACUCUCUGUUCUUAGUUUGUCCUGUUCUGUUGUGAAGGCAUCAACUCCAAAAGUUGAAUAUUCUUUGAGUGCAGAUCCCAUGUGCUGCCUGUAAAGGUCUCCAGCUUCAAGUGCAUGUGGUAAGAGCUCUGGAGAAAUUCUUCUUUUACAGCCAGGUUCCGCAAAGUGAUUUGGUAUGCCUUUUCCUGUCAAAAUAAGAGCAGAUGUUUAAACGUGGUCAUUAUCAGGGUUGUAAUCAUUCUCACACUUCCUUUUUUAUUUUUUUACCUGGGAUUCUAUGAGCAUUCCAUGAUUCUGCCACACUUGCAAGACCAAUAUGGCACAGCUGGCAGGUCAGGUUGGACACACAGUAUUGAACAAGGUUGUCCUCCAUACCUAUCUCCUCCUGGUCCGUCAGCUGGAGUAGGGCUGUUUUCAGUGGAUAGUUGACAUGGUUGGUGAUCUCAGGCCAAAUCCUUUCAACUGUGUGGUUCUGUGUUAGCAGAAACAUCUCUUAAAAUGUUUAACAAAAGCUGAAAUUCUUACACUACUACUUACAUACUUGUAAAUGGUAUGAAAAUCUUACUCUUGUGGAUGAAGUCUGUAAAUAUGGCGGUCUCUCCUGAUUGAAGCGAUGAUGUGACAGCAUCUCCUGCAUGAACAGUGUCAUAUAAAAUUCCUUUCCAUGGUCCACUCGCACCUGGUCCCACAUACCAUAGGUGAUUACUGCAGACCUGGUACAGGACAAAUAAUGAACGUUUAUUUUACUAUCUUUUCAAAGUAUUUUGAUCUUUGACCAGUUAAAGGGGUUAUUUUUACAUUAAUUAAUGUUGAAUGUACCCAUUCAUGUUGAUUUGUGUUAUUUAUUAGUUGUAGUAAGACACCACUCUUACCCAGAAUGCCUUAAAUUUCUUUGUAAUGUCACUGUCAUGCUCAGACGUUGUAGAUGUGUGUCAGUACAAAAAAAAAAGAAGUGGAAACCCAAGAACUUUGUUCUAUUCAUAAAUGACGUUUAACUGUGCAAUAAAUGUGAGUUAUCUGA